ACAGAGGGUGCGAGCGUUAAUCGGAAUUACUGGGCGUAAAGCGUGCGUAGACGGUUAUUUAAGUCGGGUGUGAAAGCCCCGGGCUCAACCUGGGAAUUGCAUUCGAGACUGAAUAGCUAGGGUACGGUAGAGGGAAGUGGAAUUUCCGGUGUAGCGGUGAAAUGCGUAGAUAUCAGUCGGAACACCGGUGGCGAAGGCGGCUUCUUGGGCCUUAACUGACGCUGAGGCGCGAAAGCUGGGGGAGCGAAUGGGA
rnacentral:rRNA from 1 species